GUGCUCAUUUCAGCAGCACAUAUACUAUAAUUGGAACAAUACAGAGAAGAUUAGCAUGGCCCCUGUGCAAGGAUGACAUGAAAAUUUGCGUAGCAUUCCAUACAUUU
ensembl:snRNA U6 U6 spliceosomal RNA